CUGGCGGCGUGCUUAACACAUGCAAGUCGAGCGAUGAAGCUUCUUCGGAAGUGGAUUAGCGGCGGACGGGUGAGUAACACGUGGGUAACCUGCCUCAUAGAGGGGAAUAGCCUUCCGAAAGGAAGAUUAAUACCGCAUAAGAUUGUAAUAUCGCAUGAUAUAGCAAUUAAAGGAGUAAUCCGCUAUGAGAUGGACCCGCGUCGCAUUAGCUAGUUGGUGAGGUAACGGCUCACCAAGGCGACGAUGCGUAGCCGACCUGAGAGGAUGAUCGGCCACAUUGGGACUGAGACACGGCCCAGACUCCUACGGGAGGCAGCAGUGGGGAAUAUUGCACAAUGGGGGAAACCCUGAUGCAGCCAACGCCGCGUGAGUGAUGACGGUCUUCGGAUUGUAAAGCUCUGUCUUCAGGGACGAUAAUGACGGUACCUGAGGAGGAAGCCACGGCUAACUACGUGCCAGCAGCCGC
rnacentral:rRNA from 1 species